rnacentral:rRNA from 1 species
AAUAGAUACCCCGGUAGUCCACCCCGUAAACGUUGGGAACUAGUUGUGGGGUCCUUUCCACGGAUUCCGUGACGCAGCUAACGCAUUAAGUUCCCCGCCUGGGGAGUACGGCCGCAAGGCUAAAACUCAAAGGAAUUGACGGGGACCCGCACAAGCGGCGGAGCAUGCGGAUUAAUUCGAUGCAACGCGAAGAACCUUACCAAGGCUUGACAUACACCAGAACACCCUAGAAAUAGGGGACUCUUUGGACACUGGUGAACAGGUGGUGCAUGGUUGUCGUCAGCUCGUGUCGUGAGAUGUUGGGUUAAGUCCCGCAACGAGCGCAACCCUCGUUCUAUGUUGCCAGCACGUAAUGGUGGGAACUCAUGGGAUACUGCCGGGGUCAACUCGGAGGAAGGUGGGGAUGACGUCAAAUCAUCAUGCCCCUUAUGUCUUGGGCUUCACGCAUGCUACAAUGGCCGGUACAAAGGGCUGCAAUACCGUGAGGUGGAGCGAAUCCCAAAAAGCCGGUCCCAGUUCGGAUUGAGGUCUGCAACUCGACCUCAUG